CAUUUCAGUUAGCAAUUCCGCUCUUGCAUUCGUUUUAACAUCUGUUGAUGCUUGAAUUGGGUCAAUUGCUUGAAUUGCAUUAUCUUUUGCAGUGUUUACAUCAUCGAUUGACUGUGCAUUUUCAAUAUUUUGAUUACCUUGUGUUAAUUGUGCGUCUACUUGUUGAUUUGCUUGUUCUUUUUCUUCAGUAGUCGCAUCUGCAGUUUGUGCAAUAAGCGCUUUUUGUUCGUUUGCUUUUGUUGCUAAUUCAUCUUU
rnacentral:sRNA from 1 species